CGAGAGGUUGGCGCGGGCAGGCGUCUUGCCAACCUGGUCAGGUCCGGAAGGAAGCAGCCACAGCGAGUCCCGUUUGGGUCGUCGUCCAGCCUCUCACCA
rnacentral:SRP_RNA from 1 species